GAAGAAAGAAACCUCGUGCUCUACUGUCAUGCACUUUGGCUGCUUUCUGCUGGAACAUUGAAAAGCAGACCAAAAAAGGACGGUAAGCAAAGUUUUUUUUGCUCUGAUCGUUGUUUUCUGUCCUCUCUUUCCCCAUAGAAGCUCACGGAGGUUUCGAUUUUUCCGCCGAGUUCUUCUUGCCCUCGGAUCGUGUAGGAUCCCUAGCUCCUCCUUUGAUUGUUUCCUCAGCUGCGGUGAGUUUUUUUUUGUUUUAAUUUUUUUCUUUGCUGGGAUUUUCUAGUUUGAGUUCUUGCAAUUCGGUGGUUGCUUGGUUGGGUGCUGGGGAAAUUUCAGAUUCUUGGUUUGAAUUUUCCUGGAAAUUUCUUGUUUGCUGUUCUGGGUUUGGUUUGAUUCGCUGAAAGUUUGGGUAUAAAAAGGAGGGAAAAAGGAUACGACAAAGGUUUGUUUAGAUAUGAACCCAGGUUGAAGCAGUGUUCGUAUUGAAUUCCUUUACAUUGGUGUUGAUCGGUAAUCGAACUUCCAAAAAUCUUCAUCUCUGCCGAGAAAAAAAAAGUUUGAAGCUGAUGGGUUUCUCGGAGUGAGAUUUCUGGGCUUUCUAGGGUUUUUCCCAAUUGGGCAAUGGCGGAGUCCGUGGGAGAUGAUAAGGGCAUUCGGAGUUUGAUAGCUGCAAGGAAGUCAUUGAAGCUGAGUUUGGAGAAAUCGAAAACCCUAGCAUCGGCUCUUGAGAAGACUGGACCUAGGUUUGAUGACACUCUGCAAAGAUUGCCUUCCCUUGAAUCUGCAGUACGGCCCAUUCGUGCCAAUAGAGAUGCCCUCAUGGCUGUGAGUGGGCAUAUUAACCGCGCCAUUGGCCCUGCUGCUGCUGUGCUCAAGGUUUUUGAUGCUGUUCAUGGCCUUGAGAAAUCUCUGUUGUCGGAUCCGAAGAACGAUCUCUCUGGUUAUUUAGGGGUAUUGAAGCGUUUACAGGAAGCGUUGAAGUUUCUCGGGGAUAACUGCGGGUUGGCUAUCCAGUGGUUGGAGGAUAUAGUCGAGUACUUGGAAGAUCACAAUGUUGCAGACGAUAAGUUCUUUUCGAAUUUGAAGAAAUCUUUGAAAAGUCUUAGGGAAUUGCGGAACGAUGAGGAGAAAGCUCGGCUUGAUGGUGGGCUUCUGGAUUUGGCUUUAGACAGAUUGGAAAAGGAGUUCCGGAGGCUUUUGACCGAUCAUAGUGUGCCCCUUCCUAUGGCAGCUCCUUCAUCACUCGGUGAACAACCUUGCAUUGCGCCAUCUCCUUUGCCCGUUGCGGUUAUCCAUAAACUGCAGGCAAUCCUUGGAAGGCUCAGAGCCAACAACAGGCUCGACAAGUGCAUUUCGAUAUACGUCGAAGUGAGGAGUGGAAACGUUAGAGCGAGCUUGCAGGCUCUUGAUUUACAUUAUCUAGAAAUCUCGGCUUCUGAGUUCAGUAAUGUGCAGAGCAUUGAAGGGUAUGUAUCUAAGUGGGGUAAACAUUUGGAGUUUGCUGUCAAGCAUUUGUUCGAGGCGGAAUUCAAGCUCUGCAAUGAUGUUUUCGAGAGAAUCUCUAUGGAUGUGUGGAUGAGUUGCUUUGCUAAGAUAGCAGCCCGGGCCGGAAUUCUCGCGUUCCUUCAGUUUGGGAAAACGGUUACAGAGAGCAAGAAAGAUCCGAUCAAACUUCUGAAGCUGUUAGACAUCUUCUCUUCUUUGAAUAAACUCAGAGCAGAUUUCAAUCGGCUUUUCGGUGGAGCAGCAUGUAUCGAGAUCCAAAACUUUACAAGGGAUCUCAUCAAAAGCGCGAUCGAUGGGGCCGCCGAGAUAUUCUGGGAGCUUCGUAUUCAGGUAGAGAUUCAGAAACAGAGCCCGCCUCCCAACGAUGGUGGUAUUCCCAGGUUAAUCAGUUUUGUCACUGAUUACUGCAAUAAGCUUGUGGGGGAUAAGUACAAGUCGACUCUGACUCAGGUUUUGCUUAUACACAAGAGUUGGAAAUCCGAAAAGUUCCAAGAGGCUAUCGUCACAGUCGAAGUUCUAAAGAUAAUCAAAGCCGUGGAGCAGAAUUUGGAGUUAUGGAUGAAAUCGUAUCCAGACCUGACUCUCUGCAAUCUUUUCGCCAUGAACAACCACUGGCAUUUGUACAAGAACUUGAAGGGUACAAAAAUCGGGCAACAAUUAGGAGAAAUCUGGUUAAGGGAGCAUGAACAGUACAAGGACUACUAUGCCACUCUCUUCCUGAGGGACACUUGGGGCAAGCUUCCAAACCACUUAAGCCGAGAAGGUCUUAUACUUUUUUCGGGUGGACAUGCCACUGCACGUGAUCUCGUCAAGAAGAGGCUGAAAGCCUUCAAUGACGCGUUCGAUGAGAUGUACAAGAAGCAUUCCGCUUGGGUCAUACCGGAAAGAGAUUUGCGGGACAGAAUCUGCCAACAGAUAGUUCAGGCCAUAGUUCCAGUCUACAGAAGCUAUAUGCAAAACUAUGGGCCUCUUGUCGAGAAGGACACGAGCUCAAGCAAGUACUCGAGGUACACAGUUCAAGCUCUGGAGGAGAUGCUCUGUUCUGUCUACAUCCCCAAACCUGUUCGAUAUGGAAGCUUCAAAGGAACCCCACCAAGUGGGAAACUCAAGAAUGAUGUAGUAGAUCUCAGACGCACUACCUCUGCAGUUGUCUGAAUAAAAUCCGUCCUGUUCUUGCUCGAGAAGUUGAAACCCGAGAUUGUAACGACCUUUUCAGCAUCAUCUAAAUGCCCGUCAUGGUAGUCGGUACCCCGAUAUCUGUUUCCCCUAAUGCAGAAGCAUUCUCGGGAUAACCAGCUUCAUUGAGGAAGAACAAGAACCCGGAUUAUAUGUACAUAAACGCUGUUCAUUCAGGCAAUGAGAUCUGCGGAAACUUAGUUCAUCAAAUCUAAGAGCAAAGUCAUGAAAUCUAAGGAUCUUCUACUUGGUUGAGGAGAAAUGGUUUGGUUUGAUCUUGUUGCUGCAACUGUUUCCACUUCUCAUUGAGCUUAGAUUAUGAGUUCAAGAAAACCGAGGGAAUGCCGGAUUUGAUCCAUUCGAUGUUGAUGUCCGAAUCUGUUUAUAGCUUCAGAUUCAAUCUGAUGUUAAUAGGCAUCAAAUGCUGUGGAAUCUGAAUCUGAGAUUGAGAUUGAGAUUUUGAUCAAAUGGCAGGGGCCUUUCCUGCUACCUGUUCUUGGGACUUGGUUUUGGAUGAAAAUAUUCUGAGAAACAUAAGAGAUUUUUUUUUUAUAUAUAAAAUUUUUGUGAAAAGAUUUAUAGUUUUCAUACA